rnacentral:rRNA from 1 species
CCUACGGGUGGCAGCAGUGAGGAAUAUUGGUCAAUGGACGAGAGUCUGAACCAGCCAAGUAGCGUGAAGGAUGACUGCCCUAUGGGUUGUACACUUCUUUUAUAUGGGAAUAAAACAGGGUAUGCAUACCCUCUUGUAUGUACCAUAUGAAUAAGGAUCGGCUAACUCCGUGCCAGCAGCCGCGGUAAUACGGAGGAUCCGAGCGUUAUCCGGAUUUAUUGGGUUUAAAGGGAGCGUAGGUGGAUUGUUAAGUCAGUUGUGAAAGUUUGCGGCUCAACCGUAAAAUUGCAGUUGAAACUGGCAGUCUUGAGUACAGUAGAGGUGGGCGGAAUUCGUGGUGUAGCGGUGAAAUGCUUAGAUAUCACGAAGAACUCCGAUUGCGAAGGCAGCUUACUAAACUAUAACUGACACUGAAGCACGAAAGCGUGGGGAUCAAACAGGAUUAGAUACCCUGGUAGUC